GGGGCGGGUCUGUGACGGGUGUUUCUGGGAGAGGGCGUUCCUAGCGGGGGCGGAGUUCCGGGCUGGGAAGGCCCCUAGUUCAGCUGAGAUCGUGGCGCAGCAGCUAUAGCGCGAACAGCGUUUCUCCUUGCGCGUCCUCCACCAAGAUGUCGCCGAUGGAGCGGUGGCUCCGCGGUCCUACAGCAGCCGGAGACGAAGGCGCCGCCCUAGCCUGAAGCCUGCACCUCCCCGCGCGCCCGCCGGGCCCCCGCCCGCUCCUGCGCCCGCGCCUGGGGCGCUGCUGUGAACCCCCAGCUCGUUCGCCCACUCGCUACUGGGGGCCUCGCGAGGAGGCUUCAGCUCUAGAUGCAACCUGAGCAACCAACACCUAGCCGAGGACCAAAUCCUGUGUCCCGAUUCCUUCCUCUUUUCACAACGCCCGGGUUCUCAGGCCUUAGUGAUUUUUUUAUUGUUGUUGUUAAUGAUGUUGUUGAUGUUGCUAUUUUAAUACAUUUCCCUCCUCUGCCCCCUUUUUGAGACAAAUCUCAUGUUACCAAGGCUGGUCUAGAACUCAUUCCAGAGCCCAAGCUGGUCUUGAACUCCUGAUCCUUCUCCGCCAACCUCACAAGUGCUGGAAUUAGCAGGUAUGAGCCGCCUCACCUGCCCUUGCCUUUUAUAACUUACUAGAGGCCAACUUUUGUAAAAAUAAAUAAAUAAAAUAAAAUAAAGCCUA